AUACUUACUGGCAGGGGAGAUACCAUGAUCACGAAGGUGGUUUUCCCAAUGCAAGGUUAUCCAUUGUACUCCAGAUGUGCUGAUCUCUGAGAUUUCCCCAAAUAUGGGAAACUUGACUACAUAAUUUGUGGUAGUGGGGGACUGCGUUCGUGCUCUCCCUUG
rnacentral:snRNA from 1 species